GUUUAGUAUUCAUGCAGUAACAAUAUCUGAACAAAUAUUUUCCUUAGAGCAGUUUGUAUAAUCAACAGUAUGAGUGUCAAUGGGAUUAUCAAAUUCCACUGAAAGGAUUCUGUUAUCCUGCAUUAAAUGAAAUGAGACGUAUAUAAGUCCAGUGACAGUGGUGUUUUGUGCACUUGGUUAGUGUUACAGUGUAUAGUGUGCGGUACCAGAAUCUGCAUCCUCAGAUCAAUGUGCCCAACUUCUCUAUUUAGAUAUAACAUAAAAUUUGGAGUUUAUAACAAUUCUGUUUCAGAGCCAAGCAGAGCUGAUCUGGUAUAAAUAAUAUUAAAUUGGAGAUGUAGAAAAGAACAAUUGAUAUUCAGCCAAUUAGAAGACUGUGGUAUUUUGAGUUUAGUUUAAUGGAGAGAGCUGAGACAAACUGAACUACACCAAUGUAUAGUGCACAACUUGCUUCUAUACUUUUUAAACUCUUGUCUACGUAUAAGUGUACUUUGAUAGGUCAGCCAAGUAAAAUGUCUGAAUCCUUCCUUUGGAAGCUAAAAUAACUGUACAUUAUUACAGACAUUUCACUAGGGAUCAUUGGCAUCCUAUAAUUGUAUUGCUUGUCAUCAAAGUAUGGACUGUCAUUAAACAAUAUUAAACUGUGACAUUUAAAUUCUGUACAGUGCAAUAGAUAACUAAACAUUUGCUCAGGGUUGAGCUAAUUUGGUUGUUUCUUAACUCUCUUAUUUUUUUUAGUUGAUAUUAUAAGCCUCACUGAUACGUCACAUUCCAUUCGAACAAAUUCAACGUCCAUGGAACAGAACACAUGGGAGCACGCACACGUAUAGAACUAUAAAAGGAAUUCUUAAGCUCUCAUGUACUCCUUUGGCAAUUCCUACAGACGCCUAAGCACGUGUGGCCCUACUCUCAUUGAAAACCCUUCAAUAGCAUUUAAAGUAGAAUUGGCAGUUCUGCUUUAAGUAUAUACCUUGAUAGGGUAAACAAAUGCAUCCACAGUAGGAUUCAUAUUAUACUUGGAGUACUGCAGGAUGUAUUUGGUGACUUGGCAACCAUCUUGCAAAAUAUUAGUUAACAUAGCAUUGCUGCAAAAGAAUUCCUAAUCAGGUUCACUGGUGGUUCUCAAGUCACCACAAUUCACUGUUUAGUGAACAGACCUCUAUAACUUAAGUUCUAAUAAAAAUACUGUUAAAGGACCAUUCCACACUCAAAUUACUUCAGCUUGCAAAAGUGUUUUAUGAAUGAGGAGUAUCCUGUUUUAAUCCCAUUUUUUUUUUAAAAAGUGGCACUUUACUAAAUAAAUUAUGGAUCCUCUUAGCUGUCAAUCAAACUGCCAGGGAUGUUUGCAUCCUCCCUCCAUUAGCUCCGCUUAGUUAACGGUAUUGGCAGGCACGUUCUAGUUGAGUAUACUUGAGCGUGCCUGCCUUCUUCCCCACAGAUCAGUGUCUUCAGCAACUCCUGUGCCUCUGCUGAUCUCAGACUAGAUGCAUGUGCACGAGCAGAGGCGCGCAUGCACGCACAGAUUCUGAUGUUUCUCAAUGGUGCUUAUUUCCUCUGAAGAGACUGAUAGUCUCUUACGGGACAAAGGGCAGGAUUUGCAAAGCUUGCAGUUUAUAUGAAUUGUAGCUUUGCCAAGCUCUUUUAAAAUAUACACCAAGGAAUACAUGUAUUAAAAAUGCAUGCAUGUGUUCAUUGGCGGUAUAUCUGCUAAACAAUGAUUUUUCUUCACAAAUUUCAGUGUGGACUUGUUCAUUAAGGUAUAUUUCUGUAUUAACGUUAAUUUUUUAGACUUGGUUAUGUAGGGCUUUCAAGUUUAUGGAUUGUAACAGAACUUAUCAGUUGUACCCCAAAGGCCUGUCCAAAAUAAAUAUAUCUUUAUCUUUAUCUAAACCUGCUCAUAUAGGUUCCUUACCUGACCUUCAAUGGAACUAAAACACCAAGCUUUAAGAACAAGAACCACACAUGCCAGAGAUACUGAAUGUAGAUUGGCAGACUCUUCUGUUAGUGACCAUUUUAUAAAUUGUGCUCCCCUCCCUGUUUUAAUCCUGCUCUGCGUACAAAUCAGGUCUACGUCGUCAAACGAUCAGUUUAGUAAUGGCAAAGCACAGUCAUCACAAAAAAUCCUCAGAGGCUACUCCAAACCUCCAAGAUUGAUAGUUACAAUGUAAUGGACGUGUACGGAGAAAAGGAAGAGAGGCCGAUGUGGAAGGUAAGCUGUCAUGUAGGGGGAGAUUUAUCAAAGUACACUUUUUUUCAUCUGAAGCUUCUUUUGAAUGUACACCAUUUAUAAAUGUACACCAUUUUCAGCAACACAAGCUUUCAUCUGAAGCUUCUUUUCAAUGUACACCAUUUUUUGAAUGCACACCAUUUUUGAAUGCACACCAUUUUUGAAUGUACACCAUUUUCAGCAUUUCAAUGGAUUUAUUAAUCGUUUAACAAAUGUUCUUUUUCCUGCUUUU